AGCAAAUAAUUCACGGCUAAUCCUUAGCAUGAAAAUCAAGGUGAGAGCGAAAGCAAGCAAAAGAGGGAGAAAGAGAGAGAACAUCAGGGGAAUGAAUGCGCGAAAGAAAAGAUGACACAGGUCAUGGGAAUCUUCCACCAGAUCACAGGAAGGACGAAGAAAAACAGUGAGAGUUAGACUAUGAGGAGGAGGAGGAGGUGGCAGAGGAGAAGGAGGGGAGCCAACCUGGAGUCUGAGAGAAGAAUCCCGGCGCCACGGUGUAACAGCUGCCUCAGGUGUGAUGCUGUGCAACAUAUUCCAAGGCCUUGGCUCUGCUCUACCUCAGUGCAAGGGGCAGCAGUACUUAGUACAGUGCUUGUUAUUGGGUUGGCCAUAAAGUUUCCGUAUGGAAAAACCCGAAGACCACGUGCUACGAAGCAGCUGAGCCUCUACUCCACAACUGUGAAGCCUGUGCUCUGCAACAAAAGAAGCUGCUGCAAUGAGAAGCCUGUAUGUCACAACUAGAGAAUGGCUACCACUGGCUGCAACCAGAGAAAAGCCUGUGCAGCGAUGAAGACCCAGCACAGCCAAAAAUAAAUCAAUAAAAUCAUUUUUUUAAAGAGCUCUACAGAUGAUUCUGCUAGUGCUGAAGUGCUAGUCCAGAGAGGUUGUAGUAAGAUAAAAGAACAUAGCAUCUGUCCAUUUUUAUGUCUGUACCUAGAUACUCUAUGCUCCCAGGAUACUGAAAGAGUUAGCAAGUGUGAUCUCCAAGUCAACAUUAAUUCUUUAGGGGACGCCACAGAAAAUAAGUGAGGGCUCUAAAGGGUCUUGAUUUUAAAAAGAAGGGUGAAGAUUAUCAUUUUUAAAAAUUACUUACAAUGUGAAGUUGAUUGCUUACAAAAAUUUGAACUGCUUGCUAAACAAUGUGUGAACAUUUGGGAAAUGACACGGGAGUCUAGAAUUCAAUCUGGAUUAACUAAGAAAAUUGAUGCCUCGGUCUUUGUUUAUGUUUUUUUGGGGGAUAGUGUUAAAUACAUUGUUAGUCUAUAAACUCAUUUAUUUUAGAAGUAAACAUGCCAAAACUCUGAAGACUGUUGUUUUUCUGAUCAUACUUUAUUUUAAUCAUUUUUGUACAUCUCUCUUCUGUAUUAGAUUAUGGCUUCUUUGUAGCUCCAAUGCUAGCACAAUUUCUGGCACAUAAUUUCACAUUCCAAAUGUU
ensembl:lncRNA